GUGCACCAGGCGCGAAACUUUACAAUGUGCGAAAGCACGAUAAGGGAACUCUGAGUGCCUCCUAAGGAGGCUGUUCAGGUGUCUAAAAGCGCCUGAAGGAAGGGCUGGGUAAGACCGGUGCCAGCCGCCGCGGUAACACCGGCAGCCCAAGUGGUAGCCACGUUUAUUGGGUCUAAAGCGUCCGUAGCCGGCUGGGUAAGUUCCUUGGGAAAUUUGGCUGCUUAACAGUCAAGCUUUCAGGGAAUACUGCCCGGUUUGGGACCGGGAGAGGCCAGAGGUACUCCAGGGGUAGGGUGAAAUCCAUUAAUCCUUGGGGGACCACCGGUAGCGAAGGCGUCUGACCAGACCGGGUCCGACGGUGAGGGACGAAGGCUAGGGGCGCGAACCGGAUUAGAUACCCCCGUA
rnacentral:rRNA from 1 species